rnacentral:rRNA from 1 species
GCGAAAACUUUACAAUGCUGGCAACAGCGAUAAGGGAACCUCGAGUGCCAGGUUACAAAUCUGGCUGUCGAGAUGCCUAAAAAGCAUUUCAUAGCAAGGGCCGGGCAAGACCGGUGCCAGCCGCCGCGGUAACACCGGCGGCUCGAGUGGUAACCGUUAUUAUUGGGUCUAGAGGGUCUGUAGCCGGCCGGAUAAGUCUCUUGAGAAAUCUGGCAGCUUAACUGUCAGGCUUUCAGGAGAUACUGUCUGGCUCGAGGCCGGGAGAGGUGAGAGGUACUUCAGGGGUAGGGGUGAAAUCUUGUAAUCCUUGAAGGACCACCAGUGGCGAAGGCGUCUCACCAGAACGGACCUGACGGCAAGGGACGAAGGCUAGGGGCACGAACC